UUCAUUUCAAAUCCAUUGUGGUGGUGUAUAGAGCCAAAAAGAUUGGAAUUGUGUUGAUGUCCCAAUAUUUAUGGACCUGACUGUAUUUUUAUACAUAUGUGAAAAACAUUUC